AACGAACGCUGGCGGCGUGGAUUAGGCAUGCAAGUCGAACGCGAAAGAGGGGGAAACCCCUUUAGCAGAGUGGCGAACGGGUGAGUAACGCGUGAAGAACCUGCCUUCAACAGGGGGAUAACACUCCCAACGGGUGCUAACUACCGCAUGAGACCACGGAGCUGCAUGGCUCUGAGGUCAAAGGUGGCCUCUAUUUAUAAGCUACCGGUUGAAGAUGGCUUCGCGUCCCAUUAGCUAGUUGGCGGUGUAAAAGACCACCAAGCGACGAUGGGUAGCUGGUCUGAGAGGAUGGUCAGCCACACUGGGACUGAGAUACGGCCCAGACUCCUACGGGAGGCAGCAGUGGGGAAUCUUGCGCAAUGGGCGAAAGCCUGACGCAGCGACGCCGCGUGA
rnacentral:rRNA from 1 species